UGAAUCUAAAUCUUGUCUUGCUUUUAGUUCCUAAGUUACUCAAACAUGGAAAAUUUCAUGCCUCUUGAUAAAAAGAAGAGCUUGAAGACGUGAAGAAGCACAAAGUAAUCCCUAUGAACUGCCAAUAGAACUGCAGUAAAUUGUCAUGUGAGAGAUUACUAAAUAAAGAGAUCAUUCUGCACUUUCAUCUCUCAGUUUUUCCCUGAGGAUCUUCUGUGGUGCCAAAAAGAAAUCAGCCAGCUAAUAAUGACAGCAGCUACAAUUUUCUACAAGGUUGUGUUUGCUUUCUUUUUGUUUUUUUUUUUAGAAGCUCGUCCGUUUUUAUAAUGGCUUUUUCGUAAAGUUUUUUCAUUUAUAUUUGUUAUUUUUUACCUUAUGUCUAGAAAAUGCAACUUACAAAACCUGAUAUAUGUUAAAGCAUAUAAUAUAAAGAGGGACUGACAUUCAAGUAUUCUUUCAAUGGAAUGGAGCAUCUUAUCCUUAAGUUUUUCUCAGACCUGAAACCUCUUCCUUCACUCUCUUCUCUACACCGCUAGAAAUCAUUGGUAAAUGCCAUAAAGCAUUCUGAAACUCACUUCUAAACAUCUGUGUAACUUUCAGAUGAAAGCAUAACUUUCUGUCUAUCACAUAUCUUUCAGUUUUGGGUUGAAUCUCAAAGGAUGAAAAUGAUUUCUUGAAACAAAUUGGGAGGGUAAUUCUUAAGUAUCUAGAUAACACUGAUGAAAAUAGUCACAUGUACAGUGACUCUGAAGCUGUUAUCCUAAAUAAAUGCCAACUAUAUAAUUGUUUUCCCUUCCAACUGGCAGGGGAGCCACAGGGAUGUUGCCAGAAAUAAUGGCUGAUUACUAUAGACAAAGAUACAUUUUAUAUUAAAAACAAAAACAAAAGCAA